AUGGAUAAUCUUUGGGGUACAUUUAUUUAUGUUAUUUAUGUUAUUCAGCUCUACUGAAUGAAAUGGUUCAUGGACCUCAUUGGCUAAUCAACUGAAGCUGAGGGAGUGAAAAAAGAACAAAGAAAUCUGUGACUGCUUGUGAUCAAUUAGUAAACUUAAUUUUUUAGAUUAAAAUGAAAUAAUACAUGCAAAGCCCUUGGCACAGUGCCUUGCACAUAAUACAUUUCGGGGUUAAGUUGUGCUAGCUAUUCUGUUAUUGAUUGUCUUGCCCUUUGUUCUCUGGAAGGUUGGAUCUUGCCAUUUGGGGAUGGCCAAUGGGAAGGCUGAGCAAGACAUCAGAGGGUGGGAGGAAAGGAGGUAUAUUUAUUUUCCUUACUCCUUCUCUGCUGGGCUUCAAUUUUGUCACUAGCUGCAUUCCUUUUUAUGACCACAACUCCAGUCUAAUGGCCACCCUCCCAUAACUAGAGUUCAUAAUCAAACUAACACUGCCACCUCCUCAGGCCUAGGAAUGGUCAUGGUUUUUCUUCUCACCUUGCUUCAGGUUCUUUUUUCCCCACUGUUGCUUGCGCUAGAUGCUCCACCCUCUUUUCUUGUUCCUUUAAGGCCUCUCUAAACUGUCACUUUAUGAAACUGUCUUCAGUUAAAUCCUUUAUAUGUGACAUCAGUUU
rnacentral:lncRNA from 1 species